rnacentral:rRNA from 1 species
GAUGAACGCUGGCGGCGUGCCUAAUACAUGCAAGUCGAGCGAACAGACGAGGAUCUUGCUCCUCUGACGUUAGCGGCGGACGGGUGAGUAACACGAGGAUACCUUACCUAUAAGACUGGGAUAACGUCGGGGAACCGGAUCUAGUACCGGAUCAUAUAUUGAACCGGAGGGUUCAAUAGUGAACGACGGUUUUGAUGUCACUUAUUGAUGUAUGCGCGCUGCAUUAGCUAGUUGGUAGGGUAGCGGCUUACCAAGGCAACGAUGCGUAGCCGACCUGAGAGGGUGAUCGGCCACACUGGAACUGAGACACGGUCCAGACUCCUACGGGAGGCAGCAGUGGGGAAUCUUGGGCAAUGGGCGAAAGCUUGACGGAGCAACGCCGCGUGAGUGAAGAAGGUCUUCGGAUCGUAAAACUCUGUUAUUAGGGAAGAACGAAUGUGUAAGUAACUAUGCCUGUCUUGACGGUACCUAAAGAGAAAGCACCGGCUAACUACGUG